UACUAUUGGCUCCUCCAAUUCCAAACAAGAUAACCCCUUUUCGUCUUCUCAAAAACCCUGGUUGCUCUUUUGCUUAAUUGUUUAACUCUUGACAGUGAAAAAAGUGGCUUCUCAAAUGACGAUCUUGACCCGAACCCGAGUACUACUCCGAGUAAACCAAACCAAAUCCAUUUCAACCUUCCCUUUCCUUUCUCAAGAACCCCAACUCACCGAGUCGGCUCACUCCACUGAAAUUCAAACCACCCCUCUCCCUCCCAACCCAGCCUCCGGCAGCCCUCUCUACCAUGAGAACUGGCGAAACCCAAACGCGGCCCGAAACCCAACCUCCAUAGCUCAAUCCCUUAUUCCCUUCGGUUUCUUGCGUCAAACCCCCGCCCACCAGAUUCAAUAUCUCUCCCAAACCCUCGACGCGCCUGCUUUAAUGAACCAUUGUGCCGAUUUAAUGACUCAGCAACUGUGGACUGAGGUGAAAGAGCUUUUCGAGUUCUGGGUUCGAUCGCUGGAUAAGAAUGGGAAGCCCAAUAAGCCCGAUGUGAAUCUUUAUAAUCAUUAUUUGAGAGCUAAUUUGAUGAUCGGAGCAUCAGUCAGGGAUUUGCUUGAUUUCGUGACGCAAAUGGAUGAUUUUGCGCUUGUUCCCAAUACAGCGUCGUUUAAUUUGGUUUUAAAGGCUAUGAAUCAAGCCAAAGAAACUCAAGCUGCUGAGAAGUUGCUUGAACGGAUGUUGCAAGGUGGAACGGAAUCUCUGCCUGAUGAUGAAUCUUAUGAUUUGGUAAUUGGAAUGCUGUUGGAGACACAACAGAUUGAAGCAGCCUUGAAAUAUAUAGAUAUGGCCUUAAAAUCUGGUUGUAAGUUGUCUAUGAGAGUUUUUAUAGAGUGUGUGGCAAGCUGUGUUAGCCGGGGCCGGCUUGACACUUUGGUUUCUGUCAUUGAGAGGUGCAAGACAACAGAUCAGAAUAGAGCUCUUUAUCCAAAUUGGACUUUGUGCAACUAUCUUGCAGAAGUUGCAAUGCAAGCAGAUAACAGCAAGUUAGCAUUUUAUGCCUUGGAAUUUAUGGGCAAAUGGAUUUCUCAGGGUGAAAAUGCAAGGCCACCUCUCUUGCUUUCUGCAGGUGAAGGAUUAAUUGUAUCAGCACUUGCAACUGCAGGUAGGACCUACAGUUCAAACCUUUUGGAUUUGUCCUGGGCAAUCCUACAGCGCUCAUUGCGUCAAAAGAAGGUGCCUAGCCCUGAAUCUUUCCUUGGGAAGAUAUAUGCUCAUGCAUCAUUGGGGAAUCUACAGAAAGCUUUUGGUACACUGCACAAGUUUGAAGCUGUUCAUGGGAAUUCCAUUCAUGAAGCAGAAGAUCUCUUCUCGCCUUUUACCUCGUUAUAUCCAUUGGUUGUGGCUUGCUCCAAGAAGGGUUUUGAGACUUUAGAUUCCGUAUAUUAUCAACUUGAGAAUUUAAGCCGUGCAGACCCUCCGUGCAAAUCUGUCGCUGCUCUGAAUUGUAUAAUUUUGGGUUGUGGAAACAUAUGGGACAUUGAGCGUGCCUACCAAACAUUUGAUGCAAUAAGUUCUUCUUUUGGGUUGACCCCUGAUAUUCAUUCAUAUAAUGCUCUAAUUUAUGCAUUUGGAAAGCUGAAGAAGACUUUUGAAGCUUCAAGGGUGUUUGAACACAUGCUGAGCUUGGGUGUGAAACCCAAUGCUAAGUCAUAUUCGUUGCUUGUCGAUGCUCAUCUCAUCAAUCGAGAUCAAAAGGCUGCACUCUCUGCAAUUGACAAGAUGGUGACUUUUGGAUUUAUACCCUCCAAAGAAACACUAAAAAAGGUAAGAAGGCGAUGUAUACGAGAGAUGGACUAUGAGUGUGAUGAUCAAGUUGAAUCCCUUGCGAAGAACUUCAGUAUUCAAAUGGGCACAGAAAACCGCAGGAGCAUACUUUUUGAUCUUGACUAUGGCACUGAAUAUGCAUCAUAGAUUCAGGUCUAUCUUAUGUUGGGAAUUUCAACAGCUAUGAUUGGGGUUCGCCAAGUUCACAUGUUGCAAGGUCCAAUGAAGUCAAAAGGGUGUUUCAUGUUUGUUCUCUUGCCUUUCCGAGCCGGGUGGUGUCCUGCUUUGAGCAAGAAGACUAGCCUGAUGGGCUAGCAAGGUUGAGCAUACUGACUUACCAGAAGUGGCCGGUGAUAAUUAUGAGGUGGUUUUGCAACAAAAAGAAAAACAAACCUUGGUUUAAAAAAUUUAUGGUAUUUCCCAUUUAGAAUUAUUGUCAAAGUCGUAACAAUAAGAUCAUUAUCCAAUAAAUUCAUCUGAGAAGUUGAAUCUUACUCUUUCCCAUUCCUAAUGUGUUUGUCAAUGAAUUAUAAGCAUCAACUUGCAAAAAUUCCAAUUUUUAGUUUCUUCUGCAUUAUUUAAGUUAGCAGACAGGGCUAGGUAGUCGAAUCUUCAACUUUCUUAGGAUGCAGGGCUUAAAUCAGCCUUCUGAAAGGGUAGAAAAUGGUAUAGUCAGCAGUCCCAAACAAAGAAAAAAAAA